rnacentral:rRNA from 1 species
CGCGUAGGCGGAUUGUUAAGCGAGAUGUGAAAACCGGGGGCUCAACCCGCGGCCUGCAUCUCGAACUGGCAGUCUUGAGUCUGGUAGAGGAAAGUGGAAUUCCCAGUGUAGCGGUGAAAUGCGCAGAUAUUGGGAGGAACACCAGUGGCGAAGGCGGCUUUCUGGGCCACGACUGACGCUGAGGCGCGAAAGCUAGGGGAGCGAACAGGAUUAGAUACCCUGGUAGUCCUAGCCGUAAACGAUGGGCACUAGGUGUGGGGGGUCUCCAACUCCCUCCGUGCCGCAGCUAACGCAUUAAGUGCCCCGCCUGGGGAGUACGGCCGCAAGGCUAAA